rnacentral:rRNA from 1 species
UACGUAGGGCGCAAGCGUUGUCCGGAAUUAUUGGGCGUAAAGAGCUCGUAGGCGGCUUGUCACGUCGGGUGUGAAAGCCCGGGGCUUAACCCCGGGUCUGCAUUCGAUACGGGCUGGCUAGAGUGUGGUAGGGGAGAUCGGAAUUCCUGGUGUAGCGGUGAAAUGCGCAGAUAUCAAGGAGGAACACCGGUGGCGAAGGCGGAUCUCUGGGCCAUUACUGACGCUGAGGAGCGAAAGCGUGGGGAGCGAACAGG